ensembl:lncRNA
AUGACUUCUACACGGAGCUACACCUGCCUUAUAGCCAUCAUCCUCAGCCUGACACUCCCAGCAGGGACAAGCAUAACUGCUGAAGUCACAGCCACAACAUCUUCAGCAACUUCUCAAAGUUCAAGUCCCACGACUGUCUCUUCAUCCACCUCUGAAGGGACAAGCACAACUGCUGAAGUCACAGACACAACAUAUUCAGCAACUUCUCCAAGUUCAAGUCCCACGACUGUGUCGUCAUCCACAUCAGAAGGGACAAGCACAACUGCAAAAGUCACAGACACAUCAUCUUCAGCUACCUCAAGUCCCACGACUGUGUCAUCAUCCACUUCUGAAGGGACAAGCACAACUGCAGAAGUCACAGACACAUCAUCUUCAGCUACUUCAAGUCCCACGACUGUGUCGUCAUCCACUUCUGAAGGGACAAGCAAAACUGCUGAAGUCACAGACACAUCAUCUUCAGCACCUUCUCAAAGUUCAAGUCCCACGACUGUCUCUUCAUCCACUUCUGAAGGGACAAGCACAACUGCUGAAGUCACAGACACAUCAUCUUCAGCAACUUCUCCAAGUUCAAGUCCCACGACUGUGUCGUCAUCCACAUCAGAAGGGACAAGCACAACUGCAAAAGUCACAGACACAUCAUCUUCAGCUACCUCAAGUCCCACGACUGUGUCAUCAUCCACUUCUGAAGGGACAAGCACAACUGCAGAAGUCACAGACACAUCAUCUUCAGCUACUUCAAGUCCCACGACUGUGUUGUCAUCCACUUCUGAAGGGACAAGCACAACUGCUGAAGUCACAGACACAUCAUCUUCAGCACCUUCUCAAAGUUCAAGUCCCACGACUGUCUCUUCAUCCACUUCUGAAGGGACAAGCAUAACUGCUGACGUCACAGACACAACAUCUUCAGGAACUUCUCCAAGUUCAAGUCCCACGACUGUGUCGUUAUCCACAUCAGAAGGGACAAGCACAACUGCAGAAGUCACAGACACAUCAUCUUCAGCUACUUCAAGUCCCACGACUGUGUCGUCAUCCACUUCUGAAGGGACAAGCACAAAUGCUGAAGUCACAGACACAUCAUCUUCAGCAACUUCUCCAAGUUCAAGUCCCACGACUGUGUCGUCAUCAAAUUCUGAAGGGACAAGCACAACUGCUGAAGUCACAGCCACAUCAUCUUCAGCAAUUUCUCCAAGUUCAAGUCCCACGACUGUGUCGUCAUCCACAUCCGAAGGGACAAGCACAACUGCUGAAGUCACAGACACAUCAUCUUCAGCUCUUCAAGUCCCACGACUGUGUCGUCAUCCAUGAAGAGACAAGCACAACUGCUGAAGUCACAGACACAUCUUCAGCAACUUCUCCAAGUUCAAGUCCACGACUGUGUUCGUCAUCCACAUCUGAAGGAACAAGCACAACUGCAGAAGUCACAGACACAUCAUCUUCAGCUACUUCAAGUCCCACGACUGUGUCGUCAUCCACUUCUGAAGGGACAAGCACAACUGCUGAAGUCACAGACACAACAUCUUCAGCAACUUCUCCAAGUUCAAGUCCCACGACUGUGUCGUCAUCCACUUCUGAAGGGACAAGCACAACUGCUGAAGUCACAGACACAUCAUCUUCAGCUACUUCAAGUCCCACGACUGUGUCGUCAUCCACUUCUGAAGAGACAAGCACAACUGCAGAAGUCACAGACACACAUCUUCAGCAACUCUCCAAGUUCAAGUCCCACGACUGUCGUCAUCCACUUCUGAAGGGACAAGCACAACUGCUGAAGUCACAGCCACAUCAUCUUCAGCAAUUCUCCAAGUUCAAGUCCCACGACUGUGUCGUCAUCCACAUCGAAGGACAAGCACAACUGCAGAAGUCACAGCACAUCAUCUUCAGCUACUUCAAGUCCACGACUGUGUCGUCAUCCACUUCUGAAGGGACAAGCACAACUGCAGAAGUCACAGUCACAACAUCUUCAGCAACUUCUCAAGUUCAAGUCCCACGACUGUCGUCAUCCACAUCGAAGGGACAAGCACACUGCUGAAGUCACAGCACAACAUCUUCAGCAACUUCUCCAAGUUCAAGUCCCACGACUGUGUCGUCAUCCACAUCCGAAGGGACAAGCACAUCUGCAGAAGUCACAGACACAUCAUCUUCACCAACUUCUCCAAGUUCAAGUCCCACGACUGUCUCUUCAUCCACAUCCGAAGGGACAAGCAUAACUGCUGAAGUCACAGACACAACAUCUUCAGCAACUUCUCCAAGUUCAAGUCCCACGACUGUGUCGUCAUCCACUUCUGAAGGGACAACACAACUGCAGAAG